rnacentral:rRNA from 1 species
CGUUUACCGUGAAAAAAUUAGAGUGUUCAAAGCAGGCAGAUCCAAUUCUCUGCCACCGAAUACAUUAGCAUGGGAUAAUGGAAUAGGACCCUGUCCUCCUAUUUUCAGUUGGUUUUGGCAGCGCGAGGACUAGGGUAAUGAUUAAUAGGGAUAGUUGGGGGCAUUAAUAUUUAAUUGUCAGAGGUGAAAUUCUUGGAUUUAUGAAAGAUUAACUUCUGCGAAAGCAUCUGCCAAGGAUGUUUUCAUUAAUCAAGAACGAAAGUUAGGGGAUCGAAGACGAUCAGAUACCGUCGUAGUCUUAACCAUAAACGAUGCCGACCAGCGAUUAGGAGACGUUGAAUACAAAACACCACCAUCGGUGCGGUCGUUCUUGGCGUCGGUUUCGGCCGGCGCGGGGAUGGCUAGCCCG